rnacentral:rRNA from 1 species
UACGAAGGGAGCUAGCGUUGUUCGGAAUCACUGGGCGUAAAGCGCACGUAGGCGGAUGUGUCAGUCAGGGGUGAAAUCCCGGAGCUCAACUUCGGAACUGCCCUUGAUACAGCACGUCUUGAGUCCGGAAGAGGUGGGUGGAAUUCCUAGUGUAGAGGUGAAAUUCGUAGAUAUUCGGAAGAACACCAGUGGCGAAGGCGGCUCACUGGUCCGGUACUGACGCUGAGGUGCGAAAGCGUGGGGAGCAAACAGG